rnacentral:rRNA from 1 species
GGCUCAUUAAAUCAGUUAUCGUUUAUUUGAUAGUACCUUACUACUUGGAUAACCGUGGUAAUUCUAGAGCUAAUACAUGCUAAAAAUCCCGACCCCUGGAAGGGAUGUAUUUAUUAGAUAAAAAACCAAUGCCUUCGGGCUCCUUGGUGAUUCAUGAUAACUUAACGAAUCGCAUGGCCUUGCGCCGGCGAUGGUUCAUUCAAAUUUCUGCCCUAUCAAGUUUCGAUGGUAGGAUAGUGGCCUACCAUGCUUUCAACGGGUAACGGGGAAUUAGGGUUCUAUUCCGGAGAGGGAGCCUGAGAAACGGCUACCACAUCCAAGGAAGGCAGCAGGCGCGCAAAUUACCCAAUCCCGACACGGGGAGGUAGUGACAAUAAAUACUGAUACAGGGCGCUUUCGCGUCUUGUAAUUGGAAUGAGUACGAUCUAAAAACUCUAACGAGGAACAAUUGGAGGGCAAGUCUGGUGCCAGCAGCCGCGGUAAUUCCAGCUCCAAUAGCGUAUAUUAAAGUUGUUGCAGUUAAAAAGCUCGUAGUUGAACCUUGGGCCGGGGUGGCGGGUCCGCCUCACCGCGUGCACUCGUCCGCCCUGGCCUUUCCUUCUGGCGAGCCCCAUGCCCUUCACUGGGUGUGGCGGGGAACCAGGACUUUUACUUUGAAAAAAUUAGAGUGUUCAAAGCAGGCAUAUGCUCGAAUACAUUAGCAUGGAAUAAUAGAAUAGGACGUGUGGUUCUAUUUUGUUGGUUUCUAGGACCACCGUAAUGAUUAAUAGGGAUAGUCGGGGGCAUCCGUAUUCAACUGUCAGAGGUGAAAUUCUUGGAUUUGUUGAAGACGAACUACUGCGAAAGCAUUUGCCAAGGAUGUUUUCAUUAAUCAGGAACGAAAGUUGAGGGAUCGAAGACGAUCAGAUACCGUCGUAGUCUCAACCAUAAACUAUGCCGACUAGGGAUCGGGCGAUGUUCUUAUUUUGACCCGCUCGGAACCUUACGAGAAAUCA